rnacentral:rRNA from 1 species
ACGCUCGACACCUACGGGAGGCNGCAGUGGGGAAUAUUGCACAAUGGGGGAAACCCUGAUGCAGCGACGCCGCGUGAGUGAAGAAGUAUUUCGGUAUGUAAAGCUCUAUCAGCAGGGAAGAAGAUGACGGUACCUGAGUAAGAAGCCCCGGCUAACUACGUGCCACAGCCGCGGUAAUCUGAGCGGGCUGGCAAGGC